ensembl:lincRNA uncharacterized LOC110296537
CCGCGCAGGGCCCGCACUGGCAGCUUGGAGGCCGCUUCCUCAGGUUUCCCACGCUGUCCUUUCCUAGCUGACCCUCCCAGGGAGGCUUUCCUUUCCUGGGAGGCUGGCAGAGGAGUGGCACAGAGGACUUUUCUUACAAGCUCAGAGGGGGUCUAUAUAAACCAUCAUGGAGCCGGAGGAUCAACAGUGUGAUGGCAGCACACAGCCCCAGUGAGCCAGUCUUCUUGUCCCCCAGAGGCCCGUAGGGGAGGCAUUUCAAUAAUUGUUCAAAGUGUCUUCUUGAGGAAAUAAGUAAACCAGGGCCAGCUGUCACAAGCCAAUCUACAAUAAUGAUCCCCGUAUGUGCAUCCUCGGGAUUCAUAACAAUCUACAAUAACAAGUGUGUGCGUUCGUCUACUGUCCCUGAACAGCCUAAAAAAAAAAAAAAAACAAAAAAACCCUACGAUCUGCUCUGAUGUCUCACUUGGUAGUUCACUUGUAUUUUUAAACAGCAUCCUUGAAUAACCUCACAGUCACAAACUGCCAAACAAAAAUUGCAUCACCAAUCUAAUAACAAACAACGGUGGGCAGUCUGGCAUCAAUCCACCUGUAACAGGAUGGCCACAAACCUAGGUUUCUGAGCCAAGUGGAAGCCAGGUAGACGGCUCGGCAGACAGACAACUGAAACCAGUUAAGAGGGAAACAGCCACCAAGACAGACAUGCUUUAUUGACUUGAAAAUCACAAACAGGAACUGGGAAGGCCUUGUUUUCAGCUUACUUGUGAAAUCAACCCGAAGUAUUUCAAUUUUGCUCCUCCCAACAAACAGCUGUGAAAUGACUAAUAGAAAUGAACUGACGCUGUACCAGGAACUAAAUGUGCCACUUCACUGAGAACAGAAAAGCGUUCCCUGGUAGAGGCUGUCCUCUCAGAUUAAUACCUGAGACAUGGUGCAGAGAAACUACUGAACCAGGCUGUUCUAUAGGCAGAAAGAAAGAAUCAUUGUGACUCGAACUGCCAAGGCAGGGAGAAAAGCAAAAUGGUGGGAAACCAAGCAGAUAUUGUAUGACAGCCAUCAGGGUGGGGAUCUGAGCUGAUCCAGUCAGAGCCAUCAGGACUGACCACAAACUAGAUGUCCUUGACUGAGGUAGCUGACCUUUGGGGGAGCUGAGGUUCCUAGUAAGAGAUCUGCUUUUCUAGUGAACAGAAACUUUAAGGCUUGCUCACAAUCCUUCUGUUUGCCUGGCCAAAGUCCUUUUAUUUAGAGCAAUGCCACCAGUGUAGCCAUUUUGGAGGAAGAGGGGCUUUGGACCUGAAUAGACUCUGCGUGCUGUAAAGAGUGUCCCAGCCAAGCACAGGCACGCUGCCGUUACUGAGAAAGAACCACCCAAGCGCCUCCCCAACAUGUUCUCAUAUCUCAGUACCUUUGAAUUAUGGUUCUAUCUCUAAUUUCAUGUUCUUGAAGAAACUCCAGAGACAGGGGAAGAAAGAGGAGAAAGAAAAUUUCUUAUCACAUUGCUUUUGUCUCCAUGGGCCACUCAGGUUUUCCAAAUUGGAAUCUUAAUCUUGCUGGAGGCUGGGCCUGAGCCAGGCGAGAAGGGUGAAUGAACUCAAGCUGCUCCAGGAACUGGCCAGCUGCUCUGCCACAGCCGUCCUAGGCGCUAAGAAUCACCUUCCUCAUUACAAUGGCUCAGUACAUUUCCAUAUUUGCACUCCCAGCUAAAAGCAAUGUAACGAGCAGGCAACUUUCUCUUGCUUCAGUAGUUCAGACAUUUCCCGCAGAAGCAUCAGAAGGGCACUGACUGACACCGUGAAAGCUGUUUUGAAGUGUAUCUUGCGCAUUUUUAAUUGUAAAAGUAAGACAUGACAAUGAUUAAAAUAAAUGGAAAAUGGGUUCGUAUAGAAAGCAAAAA